rnacentral:rRNA from 1 species
CCCUUAGAUGUUCUGGGCCGCAUGCGCGCUACACUGAUGAAUUCAACGAGCUCCUAACCUAGGCCGAAGGGUCCGGGUAAUCUUUGAAAUUUCAUCGUGAUGGGGAUAGAUUAUUGCAAUUAUUAAUCUUCAACGAGGAAUUCCUAGUAAGCGCGAGUCAUCAGCUCGCGUUGAUUACGUCCCUGCCCUUUGUACACACCGCCCGUCGCUCCUACCGAUUGAAUGGUCCGGUGAAAUGUUCGGACCGCGACAAGGCGGACGGUUCGCUGUCAGCUUUGCUGCGGGAAGUUCAUUAAACCUUAUCAUUUAGAGGAAGGAGAAGUCGUANCA